AGAGUUUGAUCAUGGCUCAGAGCGAACGCUGGCGGCGUACUUAACACAUGCAAGUCGAACGAGGAUCAUCGGUGUAGCAAUACAUUGGCGAUCCUAGUGGCGCACGGGUGAGUAACACGUGGGUGACCUGCCCUAGAGUUCGGGAUACCCCCUCGAAAGGGGGGCUAAUACCGGAUACGUCCCUCGGUUGAAAGAUCGGGGAGGAAAGGUGGCGCAAGCUGCCGCUCUUGGAGGGGCUCGCGGCCUAUCAGCUAGUUGGCGGGGUAACGGCCCACCAAGGCUAUGACGGGUAGCUGGUCUGAGAGGACGACCAGCCACACGGGGACUGAGACACGGCCCCGACUCCUACGGGAGGCAGCAGUGGGGAAUUUUCCGCAAUGGGCGAAAGCCUGACGGAGUGACGCCGCGUGGGGGACGAAGGCCUUCGGGUCGUAAACCCCUGUCAGUGGGAAAGAAGGGUGUCGGGGCUAAUACCUCCGGCAUCUGACGGUACAUGCAGAGGAAGCCCCGGCCAACUCUGUGCCAGCAGCCGCGGUAAUUC
rnacentral:rRNA from 1 species